ACGAACGCUGGCGGCGUGCUUAACACAUGCCAGUCGCACGGAAAGGCCCUGCUUGCAGGGUACUCGAGUGGCGAACGGGUGAGUAACACGUGGGUGAUCUGCCCUGCACUUCGGGAUAAGCUUGGGAAACUGGGUCUAAUACCGGAUAGGAGCCAUCUUUAGUGUGGUGGUUGGAAAGUUUUUUCGGUGUAGGAUGAGCUCGCGGCCUAUCAGCUUGUUGGUGGGGUAAUGGCCUACCAAGGCGGCGACGGGUAGCCGGCCUGAGAGGGUGUACGGCCACAUUGGGACUGAGAUACGGCCCAGACUCCUACGGGAGGCAGCAGUGGGGAAUAUUGCACAAUGGGCGCAAGCCUGAUGCAGCGACGCCGCGUGGGGGAUGAAGGCCUUCGGGUUGUAAACUCCUUUCGCUAGGGACGAAGCUUUUUUGUGACGGUACCUAGAUAAGAAGCACCGGCUAACUACGUG
rnacentral:rRNA from 1 species